rnacentral:rRNA from 1 species
UACGGAGGGGGCUAGCGUUGCUCGGAAUUACUGGGCGUAAAGGGCGCGUAGGCGGACCGUUUAGUCAGAGGUGAAAGCCCAGGGCUCAACCUUGGAAUUGCCUUUGAUACUGGCUGUCUUGAGUCCGGGAGAGGUGAGUGGAACUGCGAGUGUAGAGGUGAAAUUCGUAGAUAUUCGCAAGAACACCAGUGGCGAAGGCGGCUCACUGGCCCGGUACUGACGCUGAGGUGCGAAAGCGUGGGGAGCAAACAGG